rnacentral:lncRNA from 1 species
UCUUUUUACAGUCUAAAAAACUUUUCUUAGUGCGUUAAAAUCCAUCUCAGGUCACUAUAAACUCUUAUUUUGAUAUCUUCUAAUAGAAACUCGCCUUCCUGCUCAGGUGUUAUCAUCAGUAGAUAGGUUGGGGAGAAAUCUUGCAGAGUUUAGUGGAUAAGUGUUACAUGGUGCUUGCAGCAAGUUCUUCUGGACUAAGUCCU